rnacentral:rRNA from 1 species
CCAGAGAACUUAGCAGAGAUGCUUUGGUGCCUUCGGGAACUCUGAGACAGGUGCUGCAUGGCUGUCGUCAGCUCGUGUUGUGAAAUGUUGGGUUAAGUCCCGCAACGAGCGCAACCCUUAUCCUUUGUUGCCAGCGAUUCGGUCGGGAACUCAAAGGAGACUGCCGGUGAUAAACCGGAGGAAGGUGGGGAUGACGUCAAGUCAUCAUGGCCCUUACGGCCAGGGCUACACACGUGCUACAAUGGCGCAUACAAAGAGAAGCGACCUCGCGAGAGCAAGCGGACCUCAUAAAGUGCGUCGUAGUCCGGAUUGGAGUCUGCAACUCGACUCCAUGAAGUCGGAAUCGCUAGUAAUCGUAGAUCAGAAUGCUGCGGUCGAAUACGUUCCCGGGCCUUGUACACACCGCCCGUCACACCAUGGGAGUGGGUUGCAAAAGAAGUAGGUAGCUUAACCUUCGGGAGGGCGCUUACCACUUUGUGAUUCAUGACUGGGGUGAAGUCGUAACAAGGUAAGCGUACUACA